rnacentral:rRNA from 1 species
AUUGAACGCUGGCGGCAUGCCUUACACAUGCAAGUCGAACGGUAACGCGGGGCAACCUGGCGACGAGUGGCGAACGGGUGAGUAAUGCAUCGGAACGUGCCUGGUAGUGGGGGAUAACUGCUCGAAAGAGCAGCUAAUACCGCAUACGACCUGAGGGUGAAAGGGGGGGAUCGCAAGACCUCUCGCUAUCAGAGCGGCCGAUGACGGAUUAGCUAGUUGGUGGGGUAAAGGCCCACCAAGGCAACGAUCCGUAGCUGGUCUGAGAGGACGACCAGCCACACUGGGACUGAGACACGGCCCAGACUCCUACGGGAGGCAGCAGUGGGGAAUUUUGGACAAUGGACGCAAGUCUGAUCCAGCCAUGCCGCGUGCGGGAAGAAGGCCUUCGGGUUGUAAACCGCUUUUGUCAGGGAAGAAAUCUUCUGGGCUAAUACCCUGGGAGGAUGACGGUACCUGAAGAAUAAGCACCGGCUAACUACGUGCCAGCCGCCGCAGUAAGAC